GAUGAACGCUAGCGGCAGGCUUAAUACAUGCAAGUCGAGGGGCAGCAGGGGUAGCAAUACUCGCUGGCGACCGGCAAACGGGUGCGGAACACGUACAGAACCUUCCUUUAAGUGGGGGAUAGCCCAGAGAAAUUUGGAUUAACACCCCGUAACAUUAUGUUGUGGCAUCACAUUAUAAUUAUAGAUUUAUCGCUUAGAGAUGGCUGUGCGACUGAUUAGGUAGUUGGCGGGGUAACGGCCCACCAAGCCUUCGAUCAGUAACUGGUGUGAGAGGCAGACCAGUCACACGGGCACUGAGACACGGGCCCGACUCCUACGGGAGGCAGCAGUAAGGAAUAUUGGUCAAUGGCCGGAAGUCUGAACCAGCCAUGCCGCGUGAAGGAUGAAGGUCCUCUGGAUUGUAAACUUCUUUUAUCUGGGAAGAAACCCGGGAAUUCUUUUCCGGUUGACGGUACCAGAGGAAUAAGCACCGGCUAACUCCGUGCCAGCCGCCGCAGUAAUAC
rnacentral:rRNA from 1 species